GACUCUCGGUAACGGAUAUCUCGGUUCUCGCUUCGAUGAAGAACGUAACGAAAUGCAAUACUUGGUGUGAAUUGGAAAUUCCCAUGAACCAUCAAGUCUUUGAACGCAAGUUGCGCCCGAAGCCGACAGGCCCAGGGCACGCCUGCCUGGGCGUGACGC
rnacentral:rRNA from 1 species